ensembl:lncRNA
GAAGGUUCGUUUGAAAAUCAGAAGAGCAUGGUGUCUUUACACUGUCACCACGUCCAUAUAAUAAACUCCACAGGCAUGAAAACUGAGAAUUAGGUAGACUAGACAUGGCUGUCGCUCACGGUGAAAGAAUUUUGUCAAUACGACAUGUACUUUUCAUUUGGGAAGAAUUUGUUUGGGCCUGACUUUUCUGUUCAUUUUAAGCAGCAAAAGUGAGGCGCAUGUCUGUGUACGUGUGUAUGGAGCCAUUGGGUGCGGUCACUAUAGCAACCAGGCUCACACCUGCCUGCUUAACGAGCUCUGCCUGCCACUCUGCCAAGAUUCAUCUUAAGCACUUCUCUUUCAACUGCUGCUGUGUCCACAGUGUCACAGCCAUCAUUUUACCCUCAAAUUGUCGCCAUUAUUGUUCUCUUUCCAACACCGUGUCUUUCAAAGCUCAGGCAUUUAAACUUUUUAAACUGUGUGGAUCAAAGUGGAGGGAUCACAUUUGAGUCAUUCAGUGAUUCAAAGAAUAUGACCUUUUGAUAUUCAUUCAGAUGUUUUCUGACUCUAAAUGUUCUUUUCUCAUUUCUUAGGGUUUUCUAAUUUACAUUUAAAACAUUUUCAGUUUUUUUCCAACUCCUUCUUCUGUGUAACCUUCAGCUUUUAGCAGUUCAGCACCUUUGUUUUCAGGUUAAAUUCGGGUUUUUUUUUGUUUUUUUUUUAAUCUCAUUCAAUAUUUUUAACUCAAAAUUCAGCAAUUAAUUCAUUUCAGUGCAUACAUUCAGAUUCAAGCAUUCACACUGCAGUUUCUUCAGAAAAUGCACUUUCUAGUUAUUAUUAUUAUUAUAUUUUAUUCUGUAUUCCGUACGUUUUUUGUAAUCCUACUCCUUCAAAACCGUUCAACUUAGAAAAACCAUUCAAACACCGUUAGAUUCCUAUUCUUUUGGACAACACUGCUUCCAUUUUUCAUAUUUUUAACAUUUAUAUUUUUAAUUUUAUUCAACUUUAUUCAACAAAAAUUUAUAAUGUAUUUCAAUGGGGAGACCCUUCAAAUCCUCAUUCAACUUACUCAUUUUUAAACUCUUACUACUUCCACAUACAUUGACAUAGAGCCACCAUUCAAACUUUAAAACGAAGACAAGACAUUCAACUAUUCAACUUGCAUUUAUCUUUUCAAUAUCUAUUAUACUUUUUCUUCAGUUCCAGUUUAAGUUUCAUGAUGUUUUUUCACCCGUUUCAGAGUUUAUAAUGGGUGUGUAUG